rnacentral:rRNA from 1 species
AUGGCCACCUGCCACUCAGACAUGCUCAGUGACCAUUCCCUUGAUUUCAUUGGUCUGCAAGAAACUAUGAAGAAUUUUUUUACUCCUAGAUGCGUUAGGAGAAUUGACCCUUUUGGUUUAUUCCAUUCGGAAUGGAUACCAUCUGUAGGGAAGUCUGGUGGCAUUUGGGGGGGGGUGAGACAGGAUACAAUGGAUAUUACUUCCUGUACCAAAGGGAAAUAUGUUCUGCAGUUAACCUUGCAUGAGAAGAAGAAAAUUGACUGGGGCUUGCUGGUGGUCUAUGGGGCAACCCAUGAGGAGUUUAAGGAGGAAUUUUUGGUAGAGCUCGCUGCUAGUUGUAGUAGCAUGACUAUUCCUUACAUUGUAGGGGGCGAUUUUAAUAUCCUGCGACAUGGAGAUGAGAAAAAUAAAAAGAUGCAGAAUAGUAGAGCAACUGAUAUCUUCAAUUCCAUUAUCCAUGCUUUGGCCCUUAGAGAGAUUUAUACCAGUGGGGGGAAAUACACUUGGACUAAUAAUCAAACUCAUCCUACCCUAGAAAAGUUGGAUCGUAUCCUGAUGUCUGAAGGGUGGGAGGACCUUUUUCCUAUGGUCUCUGUCAGGAAAUUGGUUCAUGAAAUUUCAGACCAUAACCCCUUGCUACUCUCUGGAGGGGAAGAGGGGCAUGAAGAUCCUAAACCUCAUGAGUUUCGUUUCAAUUUGGCCUGGAUAAAGGAUAAAGAUUUCCUUCCUACGGUUAGUAGGAUCUAG